CGUAAAGAUUACUUUAAUACUUAAACCAUUCAAAUAUUGGAAAUCAGAUACCAUCUAUAUGUAAAUUAUACUUAGUUAAUUAGUGAAAUCCAGUUAUGGCAAUAAUUAUCUUUUAUGGUAUAUUCCCACAGAACAAAUCUCGUUUAAAACUAUGCUUAUAAUCUGGCAAUUAAACAUGAUAGUAAACAAAAAUUAAUUGCAUGGUAAUGUUAAUAUUGGUAUCGGUUACAUAAAAAUAAAACAACAGUAGGUACAUUAAUUACACAAUCAAUUAGCAUAAUAAAUUGGAUAUGGAAAGUAACCACCAACGGACCGAAAUUAAAUUACUGGUAUUAACGUAAUUCGAUGAAAUUGUAAUAAGCGCAUGCUUUUUGAUCCCCGGAUAAAUUGUGAAAGGCGGAUGGCGCCUGGCUGGACAUUGUCCUGAUAUAGGUAAAUCUUACUGGAAGGGAUAAAAUGUUGUCAAUUUUCAUUUUUUCUGUACGAGUAUUUGACAAGCUUUCGUCAGCUUGUCAAAAAACAUCGCGAGGAAACCUGCAUGCCUGAGCC